rnacentral:rRNA from 1 species
UACAGAGGGGGCAAGCGUUGUCCGGAAUCAUUGGGCGUAAAGCGCGCGUAGGCGGCCCGGUAAGUCCGCUGUGAAAGUCAAAGGCUCAACCUUUGAAUGUCAGCGGAUACUGCCGGGCUAGAGUCCGGAAGAGGCGAGUGGAACUCCUGGUGUAGCGGUGGAAUGCGCAGAUAUCAGGAAGAACACCAACGGCGAAGGCAGCUCGCUGGGACGGAACUGACGCUGAGGCGCGAAAGCGUGGGGAGCAAACAGG